rnacentral:rRNA from 1 species
GAUGAACGCUGGCGGCGUGCCUAAUACAUGCAAGUCGAGCGAAUGGAUUAAGAGCUUGCUCUUAUGAAGUUAGCGGCGGACGGGUGAGUAACACGUGGGUAACCUGCCCAUAAGACUGGGAUAACUCCGGGAAACCGGGGCUAAUACCAGAUAACAUUUUGAACCGCAUGGUUCGAAAUUGAAAGGCGGCUUCGGCUGUCACUUAUGGAUGGACCCGCGUCGCAUUAGCUAGUUGGUGAGGUAACGGCUCACCAAGGCAACGAUGCGUAGCCGACCUGAGAGGGUGAUCGGCCACACUGGGACUGGGACACGGCCCAGACUCCUACGGGAGGCAGCAGUAGGGAAUCUACCGCAAUGGACGAAAGUCUGACGGAGCAACGCCGCGUGAGUGAUGAAGGCUUUCGGGUCGUAAAACUCUGUUGUUAGGGAAGAACAAGUGCUAGUUGAAUAAGCUGGCACCUUGACGGUACCUAACCAGAAAGCCACGGCUAACUACGUGCCAGCCGCCGCGGUAA